UUAAUCCUACGGGGGGCAGCAGUGGGGGAUAUUGCACAAUGGGGGAAACCCUGAUGCAGCGACGCCGCGUGUGGGAAGACGGUCUUCUGGAUUGUAAACCACUGUCCCCAGGGACGAAAAUGACGGUACCUGGGGAGGAAGCUCCGGCUAACUACGUGCCAGCAGCCGCGGUAAUACGUAGGGAGCAAGCGUUGUCCGGAAUUACUGGGUGUAAAGGGAGCGUAGGUGGGGAUGCACGUUGGGUGUCAAAACUACCGGCUCAACCGAUAGUCGCACUCAAAACUGCAGCUCUUGAGCGAAGUAGG
rnacentral:rRNA from 1 species